rnacentral:rRNA from 1 species
GACGAACGCUGGCGGCGUGCCUAAUACAUGCAAGUCGAACGAGAGCGACCGGUGCUUGCACUGGUCAAUCUAGUGGCGAACGGGUGAGUAACUCGUGGGUAACCUGCCCAUCAGAGGGGGAUAACAUCCGGAAACGGAUGCUAAAACCGCAUAGGUCUUCGAGCCGCAUGGCUUGAAGAGGAAAAGAGGCGCAAGCUUCUGCUGAUGGAUGGACCCGCGGUGCAUUAGCUAGUUGGUGAGGUAACGGCUCACCAAGGCCGUGAUGCAUAGCCGACCUGAGAGGGUGAUCGGCCACAUUGGGACUGAGACACGGCCCAAACUCCUACGGGAGGCAGCAGUAGGGAAUCUUCCGCAAUGGACGCAAGUCUGACGGAGCAACGCCGCGUGAGUGAAGAAGGUUUUCGGAUCGUAAAACUCUGUUGUUAGAGAAGAACAAGUGCUAGAGUAACUGUUAGCGCCUUGACGGUAUCUAACCAGAAAGCCACGGCUAACUACGUG